GAUGAACGCUGGCGGCGUGCUUAACACAUGCAAGUCGAACGGAAAGGCUCCUGCUUGCAGGGGUACUCGAGUGGCGAACGGGUGAGUAACACGUGGGUGAUCUGCCCUGCACUUCGGGAUAAGCCUGGGAAACUGGGUCUAAUACCGGAUAGGACGAUGGUUUGGAUGCCAUUGUGGAAAGUUUUUUCGGUGUGGGAUGAGCUCGCGGCCUAUCAGCUUGUUGGUGGGGUAAUGGCCUACCAAGGCGUCGACGGGUAGCCGGCCUGAGAGGGUGUACGGCCACAUUGGGACUGAGAUACGGCCCAGACUCCUACGGGAGGAAGCAGUGGGGAAUAGUGCACAAUGGGCGGAAGCCUGAUGCAGCGAAGCCGCGUGGGGGAUGACGGCCUUCGGGUUGUAAACUCAUUUCGCUAGGGACGAAGCGCAAGUGACGGUACCUGGAGAAGAAGCACCGGCUAACUACGUG
rnacentral:rRNA from 1 species